AAAUGAAUUGACGGGGACCCGCACAAGCAGCGGAGCAUGUGGUUUAAUUCGAAGCAACGCGAAGAACCUUACCUGGACUUGACAUCCUUCUGCCAUAUCCAUAACGGGAUACUUUCCUUCGGGGACAGAAGAGACAGGUGGUGCAUGGUUGUCGUCAGCUCGUGUCGUGAGAUGUUGGGUUAAGUCCCGCAACGAGCGCAACCCUUGUCUUUAGUUGCCAUCAGGUAAAGCUGGGCACUCUAGAGAGACUGCCAAGGUAAACUUGGAGGAAGGUGGGGAUGACGUCAAAUCAUCAUGCCCCUUAUGUUCAGGGCUACACACGUGCUACAAUGGCCGAUACAAAGAGCAGCGAGAGGGUAACCUUAAGCAAAUCUCAUAAAGUCGGUCCCAGUUCGGAUUGUGGGCUGAAACUCGCCCACAUGAAGUCGGAGUUGCUAGUAAUCGCGAAUCAGAAUGUCGCGGUGAAUGCGUUCCCGGGUCUUGUACACACCGCCCGU
rnacentral:rRNA from 1 species